UCGGCGUACGGCUCAGUACACGCGAACAAUCUGCCCUUGGGUGGGGGAUAACCCCGGGAAACUGGGAACAAUACCCCAUAGGUUUUGGAUGCUGGAAUGCUUCAAGACUCAAAGCUCCGGCGCCCAAGGAUGAGUUUGCGGCCUAUCAGGUAGUAGGGGGUGUAACGGACCCCCUAGCCUUCAACGGGUACGGGCCUUGGGAGAGGUUGCCCGGAGAUGGACUCUGAGACACGAGUCCAGGCCCCACGGGGCGCAGCAGGCGCGAAAACUUCACAAUGCGGGAAACCGCGAUGAGGGGAUUCCAAGUGCCUAUGCUUUGCAUAGGCUGUUCUAAUACCUAAAAAGUAUUUGAAGUAAGGGCCGGGUAAGACGGGUGCCAGCCGCCGCGGUAAUACCCGCGGCCCGAGUGGUGAUCAUUAUUAUUGAGCCUAAAGCGUCCGUAGCCAGUUCAGUAAAUCCUU
rnacentral:rRNA from 1 species